rnacentral:lncRNA from 1 species
GGGGUGGGGUGCUGGUCUUCGUUUCCCCUGUUAUUUGUUUAUAAUGAAGCUACAUGUUCUAUUAGGGCGUUCUACGGGAUCUUCUGGGCGGUCUACAUGAUCCCCUGUUGUCUGAACCUUAUAUUUCUAGUUAUAGAACGUUCUAUAGGAUCUCCUAUAUUGUUUGUUUAUCAUGUAUAUAGCAAAGGACGUUCUACAGGAUCCCCUGUUGUCUGAACAUUAUAUAUAAACUAUAGAACGUUCUAUAGGAUACUCUAUUGUUUGUUUUUGAAGUAUCUACUAG